UGUGUAGGCGGCUAUGUAAGUCGGAUGUGAAAGCCCCGGGCUCAACCCGGGAAGUGCACCCGAUACUGCGUAGCUUGAGACUCGGAGAGGUUGGUGGAAUUCUCGGUGUAGAGGUGAAAUUCGUAGAUAUCGAGAGGAACAUCGGUGGCGAAGGCGGCCAACUGGACGAAGUCUGACGCUGAGACACGAAAGCGUGGGGAGCAAACAGGAUUAGAUACCCUGGUAGUCCACGCCGUAAACGAUGGGUGCUAGGUGUCACGGGCAUUGACUCCCGUGGUGCCGUAGCCAACGCAUUAAGCACCCCGCCUGGGAAGUACGGCCGCAAGGCUAAA
rnacentral:rRNA from 1 species